rnacentral:lncRNA from 1 species
UGGAACGCUAGGACGUUAUAUUUGGGAUCCAGAGGGAGAUACAGGAAGGGGAUUUAUAUUGAAGCCUUUGCCCUCUGCUCAGUCUGUUCUUCUCAUCUCCUCUGCUGAACCUGUUUCUCAUCCCCUUUCUUCUUAGCUUUAGGUUGCAAUUUCUCUUCUCAUCUACUCUUUAUUUCCUUUAGUGUUGUUUUCUACUAUUGUAUUGCUAUUUGGUUAUUGUAGUUCCGUUUAUUGAGUUAAUAUAAUCAGUUGGUUUGGGUGUAAUAUUCAGUUGUUACAUUGGUGCUUUCAUCCAGAGGUCUCUAAUGGAGGACCAAAAAGUACUCAAGGCUUUCGUCGAAGAUUCAAUUCGUGAUUCAAUUCAGGAAAUGAAGGCCUCGCUUUCUAAGGAUCUCGCCGAUCUUCGUUCGAUGCUGCUGGAGGCUGUGAGGAAACAGAGAAUGACCUCUUUUCAACCCCGAGACCGGGCUAUGGAUGCCAAAUUAUGGCAGUUUCAAGGCGAGAAUCUGGAGGCUUGGAUAUUCCAAGCGGAUUGUUAUUUUGAGUUCUAUAGAAUUGAAGAUGAUCGGAAGCUUACCAGGGCGUCAUUCUACCUUGAUGGUGACGCAUUGGAAUGGUACCAGUGGUUGUAUAGGAACAAGCAAUUAAUUGAUUGGCCGCAUUUUGCUGAUAAAGUGAGAACUCGAUUUAAACAAAAAGGGCUCAAGUCGGAAGGGAGAUUAGCGAAGAGGAGUUGUAUGACCAACUCAUCUUUGUUGCAAAACUAUGGUAGACAAUCUGACUGCAAAAACAAAAUUCAUGCGCAUAAGGUGUUUGCUGAAUCAUCUGAUAGGUCCAAAGGUGCAUAUUCUCUUAUUUUGAGCCAUGUCUCAAACUCAUCUGACUUGGAAUCUACCUCCCAAGGUAGAAACUUAAAGGCGGCCAGCAUUAUCGAUAAAAUGUCCAAUGGCGCAGACGAGAGUGAUUUGCUGGAAUUGUCAUCAUCAGUUACGUCUUUUGAAAUCCAGGUUGGUUUGGACUCUGUUGAAAUUAACCUUAUAGCUCAUACAGAUAGUGAGACUACAACGUUAACAAACUUUGAAGACGUAGUGUUUCUCGAAAUUUCGCAAGGAGCUGGCUCUAGUCAGCGACACCAAUUUGCACCUGAUAAUUCAUUACCAGCUCCUUUUGAUGGCUCACUUUUGCUUCCAUCCAAUGUCGAACAACAAACUGCACACGGCUUGUUCCAUGAGAUUAAAUAUGCUUUGGAAGAAGAAAACACGAGCUAUGUGAACAAGAUGUUCACUGAAAUGCCAUAUGGCUACUGAUGAAUAUGAAUUGGAUGAUGGCGACUCACAGGAAGACAAGGUGUUUCUUAAAAAUUUCCCAAAAGAGAUACCUGGGUGGCCUGGACAAAUUGUAGAUAUGAUUUCAUUUCUGGUUUCUUUUGUUGAAUGUGGAUAUGAGGUGAAAAAUAAUACUACGGUAAUUACUUGCAUCAAUUGCCAACUUUUAGAUACCUUAAGGUUUCACGUCCCCAGUGCCACAUUAAACAUCGGUACAUCCUACCGAAGCCAUGUUAAUGGUGAAGAUAGAUACGUCAUUCUUGGUAGGAAGUGCCCUGCACUGUUAAUGACAUUGGAGGCUUGUAAUAACCAAGUGCUUCCACUAGUACUAUACUUUAGUGCUUGGGAUACGGAUGGAAGGGAUACUAGGCUACCAAUUUCUGGUUAUGUGGAUAAGUGGUUCGACACGGGACAGGAAUUUAGUGUUGCGUCAGGUUUUUCACCUCUUCCUCAUAUUCAUCUGACUUCUACAUUAGAUGCACAUACACUAUUUAAAGCAAGUAGAAAAGGAUCGACUUGUUUAUUUGGAAAGUUGUAUGAUUGGGAGCAAUUAGGUGGAAUUGAAUUGGGUGUUGAUGCCCCCGACACCACUUAUCUUGAUGAAUGUUUCCGUGUACCUAAGAAUACUGAAGAUCAACAUCUUGAUAAAAAAUUUAUGGAGUUCGAGCAUGGCCUUGCAGUAAGAGAACUUCUUUCUGAUGAUGACAAGAUGGGAAGAUCUGGAUGUAUUGUGUCAGCAAAGUUUGUGCACAAGGUUUUGAAGCAGACAGUGGGAAAUCAUUUGAUGGAUGUGCAAAGGCAAAACAAAUGGACAAUGCUAAGUUCUCCUGCUUAUUUUGCUUGCGAUAUUCUCACGAAGACUUUAGAAAUUCUUUUGCGAAGCAACAAUUCUGAUUGGAACGUUACUUUUGCAACUUCAUUCUUAUUCCUCAACAGGUUUCAUUGUAUAUCUCGCCUUUUCAAAUCUUCCAUUUGAUCCUGGUAUACAUGAUAUUCCUCUACCCUUUGGCUCCAACAAGACUAUAUUUACAGAUAGUAGUUUUCGUUCUACUUAUGAUUUAAUAGCUACAUUGUGGGGUGGACCAAUUGAUGAGUUUUUAGUUCCUGCCUUUGAAUGCAUCCAAGAUAGCGUUACUGAUGCUAUCAGGAAAACUUGUGAGUUAGUGGGAGCUCAAGUGGUUAUCUGGGAUAUGAGAGAAUUAUUGGUAUUUAAUUUAUCUCGUAGUAGUGUUGACGGGGAAUCUAUACUCCCAAAGUUUGAUAAAGUUCUUACUGAGCUUUAUGCUCUGAUUGAUGACACAUGUGGCGACAUUUUAUUUGCAAGUAUUUUGAAGGCAUCGGGCGAUGGUUAUAUUGGGGUGUUAUAAUAUUUUGUAUCUGUUGCAGGAGUAGAUGUUAGAGUAAUUCUUUUGUCACCAGACAGUGUUUGUAUAAUGCGGUUUCUUAAUCAAGACACGGCUCCAGUGUUGUACAGCCUUGUCUUUGGAGAAGGAGCAGUGCACGAUUUUCCAUCACUUGUUCUCUUCACUACAAUGCAAAAGAUUGAUGUUGGAAGAUUCAACAGAGGCUCUGCUGUCCUUGUUAGCCAUCUGCUUCUUUAUCAUUACGGUACUACGAGUAUAGCCAGAGAACCAACCAUCUCAAAGGAUAAGCGUUAUUGGUUUUCAUUUGAAGAAUCUGCAGCAACCCCAUUUUUACGUGCAAAGGAUGGUUUCUCAUGUUGUUUGAAAGAAUUUUAUUUUUCAUCUAUUUCUACUAGACAAGGUUCUAUGCUCACUUACAUGAGGCUAAUAAAUUGUGGAGAAAAUGCUACUAAAAUGUUCAUAACUCGAACCUUGAGGACAAGGUUUUUUUUGCGGAUGGGAGUAUUGUUGUGAACCAAGUUCAGUGGGGAAGGGAUUAUGGGCCAGAAAUGUCAAACAACGGUGAUCUAGUUGGGACAUUUGGGCCAGAAGUUAAAGUGAGAAGAAGCCAAAUGACUAAACACCUAAAUGGAACGCUAGGACGUUAUAUUUGAGAUCCAGGGGGAGACACACAGGAAGGGGAAUUAUGUUGAAACCUCUUCCCAGUCUGUUCUUCUCAUCUCCUCUGUUGAACCUGUUUCUCAUCCUCUUUCUUCUUAGCUUUAGGUUUCAAUUUCUCUUCUCAUCUACUCUCUAUUUCCUUUAGUGUUGUUUUCUACUAUUGUAUUGCUAUUUGGUUAUUGUAGUUCCGUUUAUUGAGUUAAUAUAAUCAGUUGGUUUUGG